rnacentral:misc_RNA from 1 species
UGUGCAAGCYUYUUCAUUCGUUGGCCCAAGAGCACCUUASCCUUGGCCAUGUGCGGGUUUCCUGUGUUGUAUACCUACUGAAAUGGAAUUCYUACGUUGUACCAUUUAUCAUUCGCCUCGUGUUGCCCCAUUCGGGUGCGGCAUGGGGUGAACCUCAAAGUGAUGUUCGUGUACCUUGUCAUCCACGAAAUGUGUCAUUGGCACGGUCCAUGAAUCAUUGCUUGAGCUGUCGGAUGCAGAAUACACGGUGGGUAAGAGGUCGACGACCUCUCUUUGCCCAAACUAAGUGUUUAUUCACUUGUAUACCGAACGACUGCCGUCGUUGCCUUGAGGUGUCGGGUCCUUUGGGUCUGGCUGUCCUCAUGCUAC